rnacentral:rRNA from 1 species
ACGCUGGCGGCGUGCUUAACACAUGCAAGUCGAACGGGAUCUGACCAGCUUGCUGGUUGGUGAGAGUGGCGAACGGGUGAGUAAUGCGUGACCAAACUGCCCCAUGCUCCAGAAUAGCUCUUGGAAACGGGUGGUAAUGCUGGAUGCUCCAACUUGACGCAUGUCUUGUUGGGAAAGUGUUUAGUGGCAUGGGAUGGGGUCGCGUCCUAUCAGCUUGUAGGCGGGGUAAUGGCCCACCUAGGCUUCCACGGGUAGCCGGCCUGAGAGGGCGGACGGCCACAUUGGGACUGAGAUACGGCCCAGACUCCUACGGGAGGCAGCAGUGGGGAAUAUUGCGCAUUGGGGGAAACCCUGACGCAGCGACGCCGCGUGCGGGAUGAAGGCCUUCAGGUUGUAAACCGCUUUUGAUUGGGAGCAAGCCUUUUGGGUGAGUGUACCUUUCGAAUAAGCGCCGGCUAACUACGUGCCAGCAGCCGCGGUAAUACGUAGGGCCCAAGCGUUAUCCGGAAUUAUUGGGCGUAAAGAGC